rnacentral:rRNA from 1 species
UACAGAGGUCCCGAGCGUUGUUCGGAUUCAUUGGGCGUAAAGGGUGCGUAGGCGGGUCUUUAAGUCAGGGGUGAAAUCCUGGAGCUCAACUCCAGAACUGCCUUUGAUACUGAAGAUCUUGAGUCCGGGAGAGGUGAGUGGAACUCCGAGUGUAGAGGUGAAAUUCGUAGAUAUUCGGAAGAACACCAGUGGCGAAGGCGGCUCACUGGCCCGGUACUGACGCUGAGGUGCGAAAGCGUGGGGAGCAAACAGG